UUUAUACUCCCUCUGUCCAAAAAUACUUGUCGGAGAAAUGGAUGUAUUUAGACAUAUUUUAGUUUUAAAUAUAUCCAUUUUUAUUCAUUUCUCUGACAAGUAUUUCCGGACGGAGGAAGUACUAU
rfam:Triticum urartu cultivar G1812 contig447162, whole genome shotgun sequence.